AAGGGGAUUGCCGAAAACCCUGCAAUAGAGUAGGCG
rnacentral:ncRNA from 1 species